GACGAACGCUGGCGGUGUGCUUAACACAUGCAAGUCGAACGGUAAGGCCCUUUCGGGGGUACACGAGUGGCGAACGGGUGCGUAACACGUGAGUAACCUGCCCUCAUCUCUGGGAUAACAGUCGGAAACGGUUGCUAAUACUGGAUAUGAGCUUGCAAGGCAUCUUGUGUGUUGGAAAGAUUUUUUUUGGUUGGGGAUGGACUCGCGGCCUAUCAGCUUGUUGGUGAGGUAGUGGCUCACCAAGGCUUCGACGGGUAGCCGGCCUGAGAGGGCGACCGGCCACAUUGGGACUGAGAUACGGCCCAAACUCCUACGGGAGGCAGCAGUGGGGAAUAUUGCACAAUGGACGGAAGUCUGAUGCAGCAACGCCGCGUGCGGGAUGACGGCAUUCGGGUUGUAAACCGCUUUCAAUUGUGACGAAGCUUUUUUGUGACGGUAGCAGUAGAAGAAGCACCGGCUAACUACGUG
rnacentral:rRNA from 1 species